UACAGAGGGUGCGAACGUUGCUCGGAAUUACUGGGCGUAAAGCGCGUGUAGGCGGUCCGUUAAGUUGGUAGUGAAAUCCCAUGGCUCAACCAUGGAAGUGCUGCCAAAACUGGCGGGCUGGAGUGCCGGAGAGGGUGGCGGAAUUCCCAGUGUAGAGGUGAAAUUCGUAGAUAUUGGGAGGAACACCGGUGGCGAAGGCGGCCACCUGGACCGACAUUGACGCUGAGGCGCGAAAGCGUGGGGAGCAAACAGG
rnacentral:rRNA from 1 species